rnacentral:rRNA from 1 species
ACUACGGGAGGCAGCAGUGGGGGAUAUUGCACAAUGGGGGGAACCCUGAUGCAGCGACGCCGCGUGGGUGAAGGAGUGCUUCGGCAUGUAAAGCCCUAUCGGCAGGGAAGAAGCAAGACGGUACCUGACUAAGAAGCCCCGGCUAACUACGUGCCAGCAGCCGCGGUAAUACGUAGGGGGCGAGCGUUAUCCGGAUUCACUGGGUGGAAAGGGAGCGUAGCCGGGCAUGCAAGCCAGGGGUGAAAGCCCGGGGCCCAACCCCGGGACUGCCCUGUGGACUGUUCGGCUAGAGUGCGGGAGGGGCAGGCGGAAUUCCUGGUGUAGCGGUGAAAUGCGUAGAUAUCAGGAGGAACACCGGCGGCGAAGGCGGCCUGCUGGACUGCGACUGACGUUGAGGCUCGAAAGCGUGGGGAGCGAACAGGAUUAGAUACCCUAGUAGUC